GCCGUCACUGCCCCUGCCCAGGUAAGGGUUAGGGUUCAAUUUUUUCUAUUAAAUGGGUUCAAUUUUAUGAAUUUGCUAUUGUUUAGUGACAAAUUAUGGUUCAGUUUGAAGAAUUUGGUAUUAAAUUGGUUCAAUUAGAUCAAUUUGCUAAUGUUUAGUGGUAAAAUAUGGUUCAAUUUGAUCAAAUUGCUGCUGCUUAGUGUCAAAGUAUGGUUUAAUUUGAUUCAUUUGCUGCUAGUUAUGGAUUUGUUUGAUGAAAUAUGAUUGAAUUUGAUCCCGACCAUCCGGUUGAUAUGAGGAAUGUGGGCCCGGCCAUCAUGCCGAGUCGUUGAGAAGGGUCCGGCCAUCAUGCCGAGGGGGUAUAUGUGUGUGGGAGUUUUUUUUAUGCAGGUAUAAAAUUCGGGUAAACUCAUUUGUUGUUUUACAGCAAUAUUCAUGCCGAAAUUUUCUUGUUUUACAGCAUAGGUCAUGCCGAAUUUUUCUGUUUUUUUAAUUGCUUUUAUAAGUGUUGGAUAGGAACCUCAGGCUCGCGUUGAAGAGGUGCCUGAGCAGCCACCGGUUGUGGAGGGAGAAGUCGAAGAAGAAGCGGGGGCACCUUCCUCGGGCUCGGAAAUUGCCAUGAGCGAAGGAGCCGAGGAGCAGCUGUUCCUUGAAGGAGCC
rnacentral:lncRNA from 1 species